rnacentral:rRNA from 1 species
GUGACCUCAAAUCAGGUAGGACUACCCGCUGAACUUAAGCAUAUCAAUAAGCGGAGGAAAAGAAACUAACAAGGAUUCCCCUAGUAACUGCGAGUGAAGCGGGAAAAGCUCAAAUUUAAAAUCUGGCGGUCUUUUGGCUGUCCGAGUUGUAAUCUAGAGAAGUGUUAUCCGCGCUGGACCGUGUACAAGUCUCCUGGAAUGGAGCAUCAUAGAGGGUGAGAAUCCCGUCUUUGACAUGGACUACCAGGGCUUUGUGAUGCGCUCUCAAAGAGUCGAGUUGUAUGGGAAUGCAGCUCAAAAUGGGUGGUAAAUUCCAUCUAAAGCUAAAUAUUGGCGAGAGACCGAUAGCGAAC